rnacentral:tRNA from 1 species
CCCUGGUUGGCUCAGUUGGUAGAGUGCUCCACUGGAAAUGGAAAGGGGGUUUGAUACCCAGACCAGGCG